rnacentral:lncRNA from 1 species
GAUGGCCACUGAGGGGCUGGGUGCCCUGGGAGCUCCCUCGGAAAGAAAGAAAACCCCAAGGUUCCUUGUGGGCCAGGGACCCCCAGAGGCCCAACCCCAGGCCAGCAGGAUCUUGCCGCCUUCCUGGUUUUGAAGAUAAUAUUUGGAGGCCAGAGCAGAAGCCUCCAAGAAUGUGGGUCCUGCCAGGGAGCUGGCUGCCUGCCACCCUCCAUGGUGACCCCAGCACGUCAGAGGUGCCCUCACCAGCAAAGCUGAGUAACAGUUUACCCAGGUCCUGGCUGCUGGAAGACCUGCAGAGGGUCAGACUCUGCCUUUGUUUCCACAACCAGAGGAGGAAGGUGAUCUGUUUAAUGUGCAGAAUAAACAACCCCAAAGUCAUUUUGCUUCCUGAAGAGUGGAAAGGCCAGCUGUAGCCCGGGGGCCAAGCCGGCAGCCAGCUCGGGAAUGAGGGAUUCACAGGAGGCCAGCUGCUCUGGGUGGGGGAGGUCACCACGCACCACCCAUCCACCAGGGCUGGAGACCGGCUGUGCUGGGGAUUGAACCCCGGGUCUCCUACAUACUAAGCAAGUGCUCUACCACUGAGCUACACCCCAACUCCUGCGCUAGCAGUGGGUGUUCAGUUUUACUGCGGUACGAUUGAUGUGCGGUAAAUACAUCUACUUACAGCACAUAACUCAGAGUCCUGGAGGUCACAGGCCUGAGGCCACCUGCAGUGGAGCGCAUUGCCACUGCCUGCCAUGUUUUUGUUAUUUUUUUUUAAAGAGAGAGUGAGAGAGAAUUUUUUUAAUAUAUUUUUUUUAGUUCUCGGUGGACACAAUAUCUUUGUUUGUAUGUGGUGCUGAGGAUCGAACCUGGGCCGCACGCAUGCCAGGCGAGCGCGCUACCGCUUGAGCCACAUCCCCAGCCCGCCUGCCAUGUUUACAUGAGCAUUUGCUGGCCUCCUUGGGGAGGCUGGUGUGGGAGACCAACCUUGCAUGUGACUAAGUCACACUCCCCUGCUGGGCAAUGUGGUGUCAGGCACCCAUGCUGCUAGACUGCCUAGCUCUUCUAGGGUUCAAGUGACUUGUGUCUUCCUGCCCAAGCUUGUCUUGCUACAGCCCCAUGGGUGAAGCUACGCUCACCUGUUACUUUGUAAUAUAACCCCUUGCCCUGUUUGGGAUAGAAUCUUCCAUGGAAGUGCCUUGUGUGUGUCCCCUUCUCUUACUGUGCCCUUGGGUGUGGCCUACCCACAUGUCAGUCAACCUGCUGACAGUGGACAUCAUAAAGAUAGACUCAGCCCCCUGAAACCUGACCCCUUGCCUCAUUUGAAUAGCUUCUCCUCAAUAAAUAAAAGUGGUCAGUGUGUGUGUGUGUGUGUGUUUUCUCUCUCUCUCUUCCUAUGGACCCUUAAGGUCAGAGGAGCUGUCACAGCGACCCCAAAGAAAAAGGUAUUUGAGUCUCUUGUGUGGUUAUUUUGCACAGCCCAAUCAGCCCAGUUCAACUGGAGUGACCCCUGAACCUUUUAGUCGCAAGAACAGGCUGGGCCUAGUUGGGGGUCCCUGUCCUGUGGGGCUGGCCCUUGCUUCCUCUGGCAUAAGCAGCCCAGGCUGGCCUCAAACUUAGGAUUCUCCUGCCUCAGCCAAGUGACUGGGCCAACAGGCACAGCCCCAGUGGUGGCCCUGUCCCUUGUCUCUGCAUUCACCUGUGUCAUCUUAUACUUUGAGCUUCUGUAGUCGAGGUUCCUGAGGUAGCAUCUCAAGUCCUUAACCUCUUUUUUAUACUAUGUAACUACUCAAAGCUACUAGUUGCCCUCUG